AAGGAGGAAGUAUACGGUGUAACACUUACAUCACAUUAUUUAUUUCCAGCCAAUCAUAUUUUUUUGAAAAAAUAAAAUAAAAAAUAUAUAUCUUUUUCAAUAAGAAUGGUGGAAUGGGUGAAUUCAAGAAGGAUGAUCUGGUUGGUUUUGAACGCCGUAUCAGCAAUAUAAGCGAUGAAUUCUAGAUUUUUUCCCAUACAAAGCUUAAUAAGAGAUAAAAAUUCAAAUGAGACUGGACCCGCUAACCCGUUAACCCGAUUGACGCAACUUUGUUUCGAGUUGUCGGGUUUCAAGCCUAAAUGUUGGACUCAAUAGAAAGAGAUCACAAUUAGAUAUGGGAAUAUAUUGCUUGAAAAUCUUCAAUUCAAAGUAUUAAAAAAUAUGAGACAAUCGUUUUUCUUCAAAUUAAAAUCUUAAGUUACUAGAGAUUUUUAUAUUUAUAUUCAAAUAUUUUUUUUACAUCUAAAUUCAAGAUUUUUUGAUAUAUCCAAGAUGUGAGCUUUAAUUAAAUUAAAUGGGAGGCUCAAAAUCUCAUGUGUUGAUACUCUAUUAAAGAAAAUGAAGUUGUUGUCAGAUCCUCGCACUAACCACUAAUUCCAUAAGCUUGAGCAAUUAAAAAUAUACAACCAUUUCGUUUAAAACAUUUAGACAGAACGCCCACGAAUCUCGAUUGUUAUUCGGCCCAUCCAGCCUCACACUAUUUCGAAUAUGAUUCUGUCAAACUCUACUUUUCACCAUUUCAAACACAACUCGAUCCAACCCAACCUCCCACCAUAGUGCAGAAUGCUGAUCCCUUUAAGCCAACAGUCGUCAUUUAUUUUCAAAAGCUUAAACUAUCAAAUUAAGAACGAGGUUUGUAAAAGUUACAUUCAACACAAAGUGGGCAUUUGGUAACAAAUGACAAACACUCAGAAGCAACUUUUUUUUUUUUAGUUUUUACGUUUUACAAAUCGUUUAGUAUAAAUGAUAAGAGUUUAAUAGUUGAUAUUUGAAAUAUCAAGUUCGAAGCAUAAUUAGUAAUUAGUUAAUGAAAAAAAAAAAU
rnacentral:lncRNA from 1 species